ensembl:misc_RNA Y_RNA Y RNA
GGCUGGUCCGAAGGUAGUGAGUUCUCUCACUUGAUUGUUCACAGUCAGUUACAGAUUGAACUCCUUAUUCUACUACUUUCUCCCCUUCUCACUACUGCACUUGACUAGUCUUAA